UACGGAGGGUGCAAACGUUGCUCGGAAUUACUGGGCGUAAAGCGCACGUAGGCGGAUAUUUAAGUCAGGGGUGAAAUCCCGGGGCUCAACCCCGGAACUGCCUUUGAUACUGGGUAUCUAGAGUCCGGAAGAGGUGAGUGGAAUUCCGAGUGUAGAGGUGAAAUUCGUAGAUAUUCGGAGGAACACCAGUGGCGAAGGCGGCUCACUGGUCCGGUACUGACGCUGAGGUGCGAAAGCGUGGGGAGCAAACAGG
rnacentral:rRNA from 1 species